GUGCUCACUUUGGCAGCACAUGUACUAAGAUUGGAACAAAACAGAAGUAUUAACACAGCUCCUGAACAAGGAUGACAUAAACUCAUGAAGCAUCCCAUGGUUUU